GGGGGUACCCUUUGAAUCUACUUUACCAAAUCUAACCAACCCUUAAGAAUGCAUCUGCUUCAUCACAGACCUGCACAUCCUCUACUGAUGUCUCCAUUCAGAGCCAGUGCUGAGGAAGCCAGGACAGAGGUUACCCCUCCCUCCAUAAGUGGGAUUCAGCAUGAAGCCUAGCCUGACUCGUUAUCAGAGCAGCAAGAGAAGAUGGAAGCUUGCUAAGAGGGCUCCUUCCUGGGUGGCCCAGAUAUCACCCCCCUUGCUCAUAGAAGUCAUCAAGGAAGCACUGGAAUGGUCUCUCCUACUCACCCCUAACACCCCCAGCACAUCGGGCCAGCCUUGAACUAGGAUGUCUGUGUGCUAAGUGUUGCUCUAAGGACCACCUUGACAUUCUCUUCCCAGGCUCUCAGGCCUGCUGCUUUUGAUAGAAGAAGCUUUCAGCAGGCCAGGGUGGAGUGGAAGUUAUAUUGAAAAACAAUAAAGGUCACUCUCUGCAAAAUUGUGUGUGGUGAUAGGUAGAAUAAUGGCCUGUAAAAAUGUUCAUGCUCUAACCUGUGAAUGUGUCAUGCUACCUGGCAAGAAAGACUUAAGGUUGCAGAGGGAAUUAAGCUUAUGAAUUGGUUGACCCCAAGGUGGAGAGAUUACCUUGAAUUAUCCAGGUGGGCCCAGUGUAAUCAGAAGGGUCCUUAAAAGUGAAAGAGGGAGCCAGAAAAAGAGAGUAAGGUGGAGAGGUGAUAUGGAAUGAGAGAGGGGCAGAGAGAGAUGAUGAUGGUAGCUUUGAAGGUAGAGGAAGGGGCCAUGAGCCAAGCAAUGUGGGCAGCCCCCAGAAACAGAAAGGGCAGGGGAAGGAAUUCUCCUGCAGAGCCUCCGGAACUGAACCGAGACCCGCUUGCACCUUGAUUUUAGCCCAGGAGACCAACGUCAAGUUUCUUUUUUUUUUUCAGCUCUAUUGAAUUAUAAUUAACAAAUAAAAUUGUAUAUACUUAAAGUGUACAAUGUGAUGAUUUGACAUAUGUGGACAUUGUGAAAUGACUACCACAAUCAAGUCCAUUAACAGUCAUCGCCUCACAUAGUUACCUUUUGCCGGGAGGAGCGAACCCUUGAGGUCUACUCUCUUAGCAAAUUUCAAGUACACAAUACAGCAUUGUUAACUACAGUCUCCAGACUGUGUGAGAACUCCAGAACUUGCCGAUAUUAUACCUGAAAGUCUGCAUCUUAAACCAACAUCUUCCCACUUCCCCCAUCUCACAACCACCAUUCUAGGCUGUGUUUCUAUAAGUUUAACUGUUUUUUUUUGUUUUGUUUUGUUUGUUUGUUUGUUUUUUUAGGUUCCACAUAUACAUGAUAACAUAAAGUAUCUAUCUUUCUGUGUCUGGCUUAUUUCACAUAGCAUAAUGCAUUCCGGGUCCAUCCAUGUUGCCAC
rnacentral:lncRNA from 1 species